rnacentral:rRNA from 1 species
GAUGGAGGGGGAUAACUACUGGAAACGGUAGCUAAUACCGCAUAACGUCGCAAGACCAAAGAGGGGGACCUUCGGGCCUCUUGCCAUCGGAUGUGCCCAGAUGGGAUUAGCUAGUAGGUGGGGUAACGGCUCACCUAGGCGACGAUCCCUAGCUGGUCUGAGAGGAUGACCAGCCACACUGGAACUGAGACACGGUCCAGACUCCUACGGGAGGCAGCAGUGGGGAAUAUUGCACAAUGGGCGCAAGCCUGAUGCAGCCAUGCCGCGUGUAUGAAGAAGGCCUUCGGGUUGUAAAGUACUUUCAGCGGGGAGGAAGGGAGUAAAGUUAAUACCUUUGCUCAUUGACGUUACCCGCAGAAGAAGCACCGGCUAACUCCGUGCCAGCAGCCGCGGUAAUACGGAGGGUGCAAGCGUUAAUCGGAAUUACUGGGCGUAAAGCGCACGCAGGCGGUUUGUUAAGUCAGAUGUGAAAUCCCCGGGCUCAACCUGGGAACUGCAUCUGAUACUGGCAAGCUUGAGUCUCGUAGAGGGGGGUAGAAUUCCAGGUGUAGCGGUGAAAUGCGUAGAGAUCUGGAGGAAUACCGGUGGCGAAGGCGGCCCCCUGGACGAAGACUGACGCUCAGGUGCGAAAGCGUGGGGAGCAAACAGGAUUAGAUACCCUGGUAGUCCACGCCGUAAACGAUGUCGACUUGGAGGUUGUGCCCUUGAGGCGUGGCUUCCGGAGCUAACGCGUUAAGUCGACCGCCUGGGGAGUACGGCCGCAAGGUUAAAACUCAAAUGAAUUGACGGGGGCCCGCACAAGCGGUGGAGCAUGUGGUUUAAUUCGAUGCAACGCGAAGAACCUUACCUGGUCUUGACAUCCACGGAAGUUUUCAGAGAUGAGAAUGUGCCUUCGGGAACCGUGAGACAGGUGCUGCAUGGCUGUCGUCAGCUCGUGUUGUGAAAUGUUGGGUUAAGUCCCGCAACGAGCGCAACCCUUAUCCUUUGUUGCCAGCGGUCCGGCCGGGAACUCAAAGGAGACUGCCUGCAACUCGACUCCAUGAAGUCGGAAUCGCUAGUAAUCGUGGAUCAGAAUGCCACGGUGAAUACGUUCCCGGGCCUUGUACACACCGCCCGUCACACCAUGGGAGUGGGUUGCAAAAGAAGUAGGUAGCUUAACCUUCGGGAGGGCGCUUACCACUUUGUGAUUCAUGACUGGGGUGAAGUCGUAACAAGGUAACCGUAGGGGAACCUGCGGUUGGAUCACCUCCUUA